AAUAAGGCUUCUAUGAACAUAGUGAAGCCACCAAUAGAUUGGGAAAGGAUAUAU
rfam:Mus musculus chromosome 2, GRC primary reference assembly.